UUUCAAAGCCCAAUAUUUACUAGUCCUUGUGAUUCAAGAAUAUUUGGGGCCUUCAAUGUUAAUCCACGUAAGGACUUUUUAAAAAAAGUGUAUAGGAUUAACACAUCAACCAGAGGAAUGUUAAUCAAGAAAACAGAAAGUACUUAUAUCUUCUUGUCAAUACUACAUGAUUUAUGACUAAUGGCUGAAUCUGAAAAUAAAUACAUCGUUGUGGAAGAUGAAGAAGGAGAAUUGUCAAUCAUCCAUAUCAAAUGGAUGUUUAGUGCAUCUGAUGGAUCAAACGUGGGCUAUUGGCCACGUGAAAACCAAUCAUCGAAAGCCAAAAGAGGAGAAAUACCAGACCCAUCAAAAUGGAGACGUUUCAACAUCA